rnacentral:lncRNA from 10 species
GUUCAAGUGCUUCUCUUGCCUCAGCCUUCCAAGUAGCUGGGAUUACAGGCACCUGCCACCACACCUGGCUGAUUUUUGUAUUUUUAACAGAGACGGGGUUUCACCAUGUUGGCCAAGCUGGUCUCAAACUCCUGACCUCAAGUGAUCUGCCUGCCUCAGCCUCCCAAAAUGCUGGGAUUACAGGUGUAAGCCACCAUGCCCAGCCAGGUAUGCAUUUCAUAGUGUAUGAAUCAUACCUCAAAAUUUAUAAAAAUAAAAAAGGAUUUUAAAAAAUGAACAGCCCUUUAGGUAUGGGAGGAGGCGAGGAGUAAGAAAGGUGAAUGGACUCUGCAUUACCACUUGCCGAUCGCUAGAUGUUACCAUGUUACAGUGGAAGGAAUGCAAACAAUAAUUUUUCCCAUUUUUUUUUUUGUUAUGUCCACCAUGUAACCGGACACACAGAAUUUUUUUUUUUUUUUUUUUUUUUUUUUGAGACGAAGUCUCACUCUGUCGCCCAGGCUGGAGUGCAGUGGCGCAUCUCGGCUCACUGCAAGCUCCGUCUCCCACGUUCACGCCAUUCUCCUGCCUCAGCCUCCCGAGUAGCUGGGACUACAGGCGUCUGCCACCAUGCAGCUAAUUUUUUGUAUUUUUUUUUUUAGUAGAGAUGGGGUUUCACCGUGUUAGCCAGGAUGGUCACGAUCUCCUGACCUCGUGAUCCGCCUGCCUCGGCCUCCCAAAGUGCUGGGAUUACCGGCAUGAGCCACCAUUUCCGGCAACAGGCAGACUUUUAACACAUUCCUUACCUAAACUUUUAAAAGGGACAAAAGAUAUAUGCCUUUGGUUUGGGAGAUGACGAAACAUAUGCUUUAAUGACUAUUGGGUUGGAAUCUUCUUGAGAGAGGAUCCUUCUUAGCCUAGACUAGAGUCUUCAAAAGCCCACAGUGCUUCGUAAAGUUUCAUACGUGGAAGAGAGAAGGAUGUUCCACUGGAAAAGCAGAAUUGCAGCUGAGCUGUCCUGAAAUGCCCAGCACUCUGUGGAGACGCGGAGGAGGUUUCCUGGGACAAAGUGCUGAACCAGAUGGUGAAGCCAAGGCCUGAAGACCUUUCCUGCAAGGUCGCAGAGGAAGAGGCAGAAGAAGGACCAGAACCCAGCUCCCCUGACUCCCUAUCCAGUGCUCUUCUCAUAGAUUACAUUGCUUCAGCAUCCACCUGGCUAUUGCUCCAUCCAGGGGUUACAGGAGUCACUGACUGUUUUGGUUGCUUCUUGGUUGGAGGAUGUUGUGCCUCACCGAUGAGAGCCGGAAGCAAAGGUACCAGUUCUUAGAGGAAGCAUAGGAAUGUGUCCCUUCCUGCUCGGGUCUCUCAACUGAACUCAACCCUUCCUUGAUUGAUUGACAAGCAUGUUAUCUCUCAUAAUCCCUGCCCGGUAAGGGCUGAUGUCCCCAUUUUACAGAUGAGGAUAUUGGAGCUCAGAGAAGUGAAAUGAUUGCUGAAGGUCACACAGCCUGGCUUCAAGCCUCUCGGGCUCCAAAAGGCAUCUUCUGUUCUCUCCGUCAGGAAGCCUCUUUUGGAUGAUUAACUGAGAUUAAAAAUGAAAAGACACAUGAAAGAAAGGUCCUUUUUUUCAACCUGACAAGAACUAAGAAUGCCUCUGUAUUCCAGGCACCCAGACCAGGGUGGGCUGGAAAGCCAGCCAGAGAGAAAGCAGGAGAAAGAAAGCAUGUUCUAACAGGAAGGUUAAAGCACCCUGGGAUGUGAGUUGGGGUGGAGAAGUGAAGAGGGCAGUUCUCACAGGGGCAGAGCUUGGUUUGGGGUAGGCUAGGAGCUGGGACCAGAAGAGGGACAGGGAAGGGUUUAUUGUGGGUCCACGGCCCAGCUCCACUGCAUGGGCCAUCUGACAGCGCCUGACCGAGCAGAAUGCCAGGGUGUAAAGACCCCACUAAUACCCAGUCAAUGAGAGGAACGCCAGAGGAGCACCCAGAAUGUUCUUGUGCAGAGGCAAAGAGCAGGAGUUUGUGACCACAGCUGGCAGUCCAUGUCAUCCUCACUGAACGACCUCUUAGCAUUCCAGGUGGACAAACAUAUUCACAGGUGCCCAGACAAAUGAGGUCUGCGGGAGAGAGACAGGCUACAUCAGAGGUAGACUAUGUAUUUACAUAAAGUAGGAAUAAGAGUCUCAGAAGCCUUCCAAAGCAGAUGUCUGCUUAAACCUCUUGAGCGGUGCCCUCCUUAGCCUGGAAGGAAGGCCUUGCUCAGGUAGUCUCAACCCGCAUCUGUGGUGUGAUUUAACACCUUCCCCUUCAUUCCACCACACUCUAUCUCAAACUAUCUGUUGUUCUCAAACACACAGAACACUUUCACUCCACCAGCUCUUCCACAUGUGAUUAUCUUUGCAUGUACUUCAUCUUUCUCAUCUACAGCCCCACCUGGCAAACUCCUACUCAGCCUUCAAAACCCUGCCUAAAUGUCACUGAAUCUGGAAGCCUUCUUCAUCUUCUCAGUACACAUUUGUCUGUAUUCCUGAUCCUUUGUCUAUAACUCUGGUAAAUCAUUGAUCCUAGUGCACUGUCAAGAACUUGUCCUAUUUUAUCUGUAGAUUCCCAGAGCCCAAUCAAGAUCCUCACAUGUAGAAAGUAGUAGAUCAAUUAAAUAAAGCAAGCACAGCCAGAAUGGCUGGGAAUUUGAGAGCAUGUGCCCCAGAAUGAUUGUACCUCAGACCUGGAAGAAAAUGUGGAGUUGAUCUAAGUAAACCUGAUGUUUGAACGCCUCAUCUGCAUUCACAGCCUGAGUCACUAUUUACAAUGACCCAGGAGUCUGAUGCCUAAAUGAUACAUUAUCUUCAUGCUCCAGUCUCCCACUGUCUGACUGCCCGGCUCUUCUUUGACGAGAGAUCUCACCGAUUGCGGCCCUUGGCCUUAGGAAGGGUGAUGGGCUGGGCUGGAGGCCUGGGCUGAGCUCUUGGGUGCAGGGGGAGCCUCAGCUUUUCCAGCCCUCAUCCUCAACGGCUGCCUCUGCCAAGGCCCUGGAGCUACAGAAAGCAAGACCAGUGCCUGAGUGCAAUAAAUGCUUUUAUUAGUCCUUUUAUUAAUGACGGUUGGUAUUUGUUGAGAAGCUGGGACAAUAGUUAUUCCAGUAAGAGGAUAUUAAGCUCCCUCAAACAGGCCCUGUAUAUCUAACAGGCUCUGGCCCCCAGCCUCCCCUGACGCAGCUCUGUUACACUGCAGCACACCCCUGGCCUCCCAGCAACUCCAAGAAGGGAGAGGAGGGAUGGGGGAGGUAGGGAUAAUCUGGUGUCAUUAAACACACAGGCCUUUGUGGAGGUUACCGUACACCAACAGCAGGAAGCUUUUUCUUCCUUCUGAGAGCAUAGGGAGCCUAUGUGAUUUUGUUUUUUUUUUGUUUGUUUUGGUUUUUUUGUUUUUUGCUACCCCUGUGCUCCUGGCUAUUUUACCUCCAGAGCUGCUGGUGAUAAGUUGGUAAAGGAGGACCUCCUUAAACCAUUUGUUAAACCAUUUGAGACUGUUCCUAGUACUUGUUUUAAGCUAUUUUACAUGAUUUUUAAUGUAAUAAACACAUUUAUAAUACUAUGUGGUGGCAAUGUUCUGAGUGCUUUUCAAAUACUAAUUUAUUUAAUACUCAUAACGUCUCAAUGAAGUAGGCACUAUACUUAUCCUUAUUUUAUAAAUGAGGAAAUGAGGCCCA